UUAAUUUUAUUAAAGAAAGGGUGUGGAAAAUGGAGGAAAGACUACUAUCUCAAGCUAGCAAAGUUCUUUUAAAUGCUAUUGUGCAAGAAAUUUUCACCUUUGGCAUGAGCUACCAUAAGUUACCUAUGGGACUUUGUAAGGACAUCGCGCAAGGUGAUGAUUCGUAAAUUUUGGUGAGGUUAACUGGGAAAUUAUAGGAAAAUUUAUUGGAAGAAUUGAGAAACUUUAUGUAGACCCAAAGCUACUGGAUGUAUAAGUUUUAAGGAUCUUUGCAAAUUUAAUGAUACUAUGUUGGUAAAACAAGUGCGGUGACUUGUUCAUGAUACUAAUUCUCUCUUUUAUAAAAUCUUCAAGGAUAAAUAUUUUCCUAGUAGUAUUGUAAUUGAAGCUAAAGCUACAUCGAGGUCUUAUGAGUGGAAGAACAAUUUGUGAGCUCGAAUUGCCAUGUCCAUGGGAGCUAAAUGGCGGAUUGGUGAUGGGAGAGAUAUUCAGAUUUAUGAGGAUGAUUGGUUACCAGGAAACUAUGGUGGCAGAGUACUGGUGUUACCUAUAUCUCAUCUUCGAAGAAUAGCUAAUGUCUCAAAUCUCAUUGAUACGGAUUCUAAUUGGUGGAACUCGCAACUUCUAGACACUUCCUUUCUGCGUCUCUAUAAACGCUGCUACAGGACCCAAUAUAUAAAAUAAAAUAUAAAAAAAAAAAAAAAAUCCCUGAGUUCUUCGAACACCCUAAGCCACUCUCUGUCUAAGCCCUUCGAAACUCUCUGCUUCAGCGCUUCCAUGGCUCUCCAUCUUUCUACACCGAACCUGCACCGCUCCACCACAUAGACCACCGCGAGCCGCCCGCUGAGAGUCUCCCUCAUUGGCUUCUCUUUGUUCUAGCACAAGCCCAGCCAUGGCCUAAGCCAUACGGCCAGUACCAGUUGUGGUGGGCUUGGUUCCCUAUUAGAGCAAAUGGUAGAGGUGUUGUGUCAACACGUAUCAGAUGAGUCUCCAACUGUUAGACGGCUAUGUUUGAGAGGAUUAGUACAGUAUGGCUUUAUUGCUUGGCUACUCAGCACUUGCGUUGGACUAUUGCUUUCUUUCUUGAGGUGUCCAAGAGAGGAGUAGAACAUAUCGCUUUUCUGUAGAGAGUUUAUGAUAGUUUAAAAAUCUCCUUCGAAGAUGGAACUACCAAGGCCAACUUCUUGGACAAAUAAAGCUGCUAGCCUUGCUGCUAACAGGCCGGUCAAAGAUUUCCACUAAAGAAGGUUUUUCUAUUUUAUUUGACAGAGAUGCCAUAACCUAACCCUGAGAGUUACGGAUAACCACCCUAAUACUUGCUUGAGUUGCUUCCCUAGAUUCUUCAAACACUACACCAUCAAAACUUAUUUUAAAAUUAUAUGUUGACGGAGGCUUCCAUAUCAGUUUAGUAGCUUGGGGUGUCUUCACCAGGUUUGUAUUACCCUUUUUAUAAACUAAGAGAUAUUGACUAGCAUUAACAGCUACUCUAUCCAAAAGCACAACAGCCUCCAGAAGGCAAAGUUCGUUUCUUCUGCUCCAAAGAUCGGGGUUGGUAGUGAAAAAAACCGACCAAAUCACUAAAUGACCCCCUUGAGACUUUAACACGGUCAACCUAGUUAAAGUCACAGUAUAUAGGUAUAUAUAGUAUGUUUCUAGACAUUUUGGAGUGUAAGACAAGAACUAAA